ensembl:lncRNA
UGCCACAGAUCCCCGUCACUCGCACUGGGGCAUUUUAGGGAAAACAUUCAACCUCACUGGAGUCAAGAGUGUAAGUUAAAACGAUAGCAGUGCAGCCGCUGCCUUGACCCAGCAGUCAUGGUGAUGACCAUUUCCCUCUCCUCUGAAGCCAGUGGCUCCCUUUGCUGUGGUUGCUCUCCUUCCUGCCCACCCUGCAUCGCUUUGCAGUGCACUGAAGAAAUGUGCUGUCUUCCAAGUCUCACAUAAAUGUGACAUCGGACACAGGAGGGAGUCCAGAGGAAAAUCCUCGGCAGAGCUGAGCAAGGGUGCAAGGUUAAGACAGGUGACCCAAUGUGAUACCCAACCAGGGACUGUUGCUCUCCAGGACCUGCUUACAAUGUGCUCAGGGGAGACAGACACAUAGUCACAAUCAGAGG